GUAGGCGGAUCAUCUCCUGGCCAAAUCCAUAUCAUUCCCUCCUGCUCAAAGCACGGUAAUGCUCUGAUUUUUACAUUAAGUAAUCUAGUUGAUGGCAUUUUCUCGCAUUUUCCAUCAAUCGAGUAUUCCCAUCCUGACAUCAGUGAUUAUGUGAAAAGAAUCAGUGUCACCAUAUCAGCUAUAACUACAGUAUGUAAAAGGUUAAUCGAGAUAUCCUUAUCUAACCAUGAUAAGGACACUGGAUGCGACCCUCGUUUAUUGAACCCAGAUGAAGUGGGCAGGCCCUAUGAGCGCAAGUAUUCUGUACACAUCCAGGUUUUCCAUCCUUCCC
rnacentral:lncRNA from 1 species